rnacentral:rRNA from 1 species
CCUUAAUAGGUACGAAAAGUGGUGUGUCCUACCACCGUUCGAGCGGAUGCCGGGAGCUUGCUCCUUGAUUCAGCGGCGGACGGGUGAGUAAUGCCUAGGAAUCUGCCUGGUAGUGGGGGACAACGUUCCGAAAGGGGCGCUAAUACCGCAUACGUCCUACGGGAGAAAGUGGGGGAUCUUCGGACCUCACGCUAUCAGAUGAGCCUAGGUCGGAUUAGCUAGUUGGUGAGGUAAUGGCUCACCAAGGCGACGAUCCGUAACUGGUCUGAGAGGAUGAUCAGUCACACUGGAACUGAGACACGGUCCAGACUCCUACGGGAGGCAGCAGUGGGGAAUAUUGGACAAUGGGCGAAAGCCUGAUCCAGCCAUGCCGCGUGUGUGAAGAACGUCUUCGGAUUGUAAAGCACUUUAAGUUGGGAGGAAGGGCAGUAAGUUAAUACCUUGCUGUUUUGACGUUACCGACAGAAUAACACCGGCUAACUCUGUGCCAGCCAGCCGCGGUA